GUGUGCAAAGGCAUAAGCGUGCUUGACUGCAAGAUCGACGGAUCAAGCAGGUAGGAAACUAGGACUUAGUGAUCCGGUGGUUCUGUAUGGAAGGGCCAUCGCUCAACGGAUAAAAGGUACUCCGGGGAUAACAGGCUGAUACCGCCCAAGAGUUCAUAUCGACGGCGGUGUUUGGCACCUCGAUGUCGGCUCAUCACAUCCUGGGGCUGUAGUCGGUCCCAAGGGUAUGGCUGUUCGCCAUUUAAAGUGGUACGCGAGCUGGGUUCAGAACGUCGUGAGACAGUUCGGUCCCUAUCUGCCAUGGGCGUUGGAGAUUUGAGAGGGGCUGCUCCUAGUACGAGAGGACCGGAGUGGACGAACCUCUGGUGUUCCGGUUGUCACGCCAGUGGCAUUGCCGGGUAGCUAUGUUCGGAAGCGAUAACCGCUGAAAGCAUCUAAGCGGGAAGCGCGCCUCAAGAUGAGAUCUCCCGGGGCACAAGCCCCCUGAAGGAACCAUGUAGACUACGUGGUUGAUAGGUCAGGUGUGUAAGUACAGCAAUGUAUUGAGCUAACUGAUACUAAUGAUCCGAGAGGCUUGACCAU
rnacentral:rRNA from 1 species